CACGUAGGGCGCGAGCGUUGUCCGGAAUCACUGGGCGUAAAGAGCGCGCAGGCGGUCCUUUAAGUCUGAUGUGAAAGCCCACGGCUCAACCGUGGAGGGUCAUUGGAAACUGGGGGACUUGAGUACAGAAGAGAAGAGUGGAAUUCCACGUGUAGCGGUGAAAUGCGUAGAGAUGUGGAGGAACACCAGUGGCGAAGGCGACUCUUUGGUCUGUAACUGACGCUGAGGCGCGAAAGCGUGGGGAGCAAACAGG
rnacentral:rRNA from 1 species